UGCUGUGGUCUGGCUGUACAUGACUCUAUUAGUGCUAAAACCAGCUGCCUAUUUGAGAGCUGGUUUUAUUGACAUUAGGUACCAGAAUUACCCAAACUAAAGUUUGCCUGCUAUCUCAGUCCUUCUGUUCUGUUUUAGGGAGAUCAGUUAGGUCCUUUGUGAUCCAACUUGCAAGCAAUUUCCACUAACUUUGUGAAAUGUGAUCAUGAAAGGAGCUCUGUUGUUCACAGGGCAUGGCCAGCAAUAAAAGAAAAUAUUUGAAACUUGGAGAUUACCCAAAGAACAGAAAUUUGGGGUUAUAAGAAACAACACUGCUUUUCCAGGCCUGAAUUUCACACAUAUUGAGUGCUUUGCUUGCUUCCAAACUGGUUCCUUACUGUGUGGCCUCUGUAGAAAAAAAUCCAUCAGUUCACCAUUUACUCAUAUGUUGGUCAUUCUCAACCAUCAAUGCAUUUGUGAACCUCCCUGCUGUUUUACUAGCUUGACUGGAUCCACAUGAACCCAAAUCUCUGGCCUUUCCCACAACCUGCUACCCAGCCACCCCAUCAGAGCUUUCUGAUUCAGCCGGUGCAGGGAACCAACGCAAGAACCAUUUCACAACACAGAAGGUGUAUGUGUAUUUUCCCACAUUACUCCUCACCCAUCCCAGCCACUAACCAAACAUGAGGUGUGACAGAAGACAUACUGUCAAACACAGGUAAAUGUAAUAGAUCAUUCAUCCUUCUUGUCUUUGCUGUAGGAUUAUAGCUGUCCUGUUUUUUCAGCAGUCAAUGAGAGAAUUUAAGUCUCAGAAACUGAUUGUGUCCCUUACAGAUUUCCAAAAUAAACAAAACCUUGAGCAACAUAUCUAGCAACUUAAUUCUCUCUUUUGGGUUGAACACCAAAAAACUAUAUACGUAUUUCCAGUUAUAUUGCAGUCUAUGCCAAAAAUAUUUGCAAAAGGUCAAGAAGUCAGUACAAGAAGUUGUGUUGGAUGAUGACAGGGACUAAUUCAGUGCCACAGUACCUCCAUUAGCUGAAAGGACUGACCUUGUGUGUGAAAUGGCAGAGACCUUGAGGGUUACCACGUGCUCAUCUCAGUCCCAUUUCUGAGGUUUAGUGACAUAGUAGCAGAGUCAGACAUAAGCACAGAGAAAGUAAAGAUAACCACUACCUAAGGACAAAAAAUAAGAGAUUAAAACCAGCCUGUUUAUGCUGGUUGACCUUACAGAAAUAUUUUAAUGUAAUUGUAUCAUUAUGAAGAGAACAGUAAUGGUUUUAUUCAGUAGGUUUUCUGGAUUGCCUUUUAAGUGGAUGAGAGGCACAUAUGAAAUUCAGCUUCAGUCCCACCUUCCCCCCUGAAACCAUCACCCUUACUUUAUACAGCACAGUGAAGCCUCUUGAUGUGGUAUUGCUCCCUUAACUGAGCUGGCAGACCUAUCUGUCCUUGCAAUCUUCACAGUCUGCCUUCAUCAAUUCUCCUUCUCUUUCAUGUAUGCAAAUCCAUAUCUAUGGCAUGAGCCAUCAGUUGAGUUUUAGAUCUCAUGAAGAGGCCCACUAAUAGUGCUCAGAUCUUUGAAUAUCUGCAUAUUUUUUAGUCAAUUCUGUUCAUUUCAGGUCUGCCAUUAAGAUGCACUUGAAAUUUCAACUUCCUUCAAAAAAUCAGUUCUUUAUGUCCUACCCUCAGACCACAAGCUCAUUCCAUACUGUGCAUCAAGUAAACUUGGAUAUCAAAAAUAUUGUGGUCUUGGGUCUAACUGGAACUGGAAGUAGCAAGGUAAAGGCUGUGUAUUGCAGGAAUCCAAACUAUUCAGUAUGUCAACACUGUUUGAAGAGCCAUGUGUGCGUCAUAUUCUUGUUUGCAAGCUAAUUAGAUUGCUUGUUUUGAAAGAUGGAUUAAUGAAUUAAUCACAGGGUGUGGUAGAUGUUUUUUCUUGGCAUUCUAAGGCUGAUUUAAUAUAAAAUGUUUUAUUUUUUCCAUGUAUGAUUCACUUCAGAACUCAAAAACACAUAAAACAGAAAUGUAAAAAUGACAGCUGUGCUAAAACACGAAUAUUAUAAUCACUUUGGCGCAGCCAGUUUUCAUUUAGGUCAUCUGAAACUGUAGAUAGUACCAUCAACCGUAGAAAGAAGGAAUUAUAUGGGAGAUUUCUUGUUAAGAAAUCAAAGCUGAAUGGAAAAGGGUGUGGUUUUGAUUGCACAAAAUGUCAGAUGGGUUUCUGGUUUGCAAAUCUGGAAACAGGAGUGGUUCACAUUUUGAUGCUUUCUCAUACUGCAGCAUUUAUGGAAUUUAUAUUUUUUUCAAAUCAAUUUAAUUGUGGCAACUCCGAAUGUUGCAAAAUUCACAUUCAAAAGCAGAAGGCAGCAGAGACUGGGAUCUGGCUCAGCCUCUGACCAUUUCUGGCCACUCAUUUCUGGCCAAUUUACCAAGUCAGGCAUUUAUAUGUGCACUUUUCACUUAUUUUCCUGUUUUUCAGCUUUCCCAUUCUAAACAACUGCCCACCUAAUGGGUAUAAUUAUGCACAUCAUUUUCAUGGUGAUCCAACCCACUGAGCACUGCACGGAGAGAUCCUGGCCCUUGGCACACAAGAAAAGGAAGAGCAAUGCCAAGUUGUGUGAUUCUGAGCAGGACACUUAGCAUGAGCUAUGAACCACCUGGUCUUCAACCACUUUGAAAAUGAAAGGUGGAGCCAGAUUUUGAAAAGUAUUUACCUUAAUAAAUAAAGAUCGAUAUAAAUGUCCAACAACAGAGAUAAGGUGCCCUAGACACUUUUUAAAGUAUUUCCUGGGAAAUUCUUGGGAACUCUAUCAGUAGGGUUAGAAAGCUAUGCACUUAUUAACAGAAAUCAAACCUUUGCAAAUGCAGUCUUUGUUUCUGAUCCCUUCUGUUUUUCACCUUCAGCUACACAAACACUGUGCAGAUACAGGACUGUGCAGUUCCUUCACCAACAACCUCCUUCUCCUUCUUCUUCAUUACUAAAGCUGAAGAAAUGUAAGAGACCAAAGCAAAGACCGCAAAAUCUAUGUUACUAGUAAAGGAGAUAUUGUACACCCCAAACAUACCCCAUAAAGUCAUGCAAUGAGUCAAGGCAGAGUCCCAUACCUGUUGAUUAGUAAAAUAAGCAUUUUUCUUGAAUAUUGACUAACAGUUAAAAGGAAAUUUAGCAGGAAUAUCACACAGGAAGACUGAGUCCUAAUUAUGUAUCAGAGCAUGACUAUAAAAGUGUCUGAAGGAGAUAUUAUCAAACCAUAGUCAGUGAAUGCUACCAAUAAUCCAUAACUCUGCUAGGCGUGGAUUUAGUAAUGCAUUGAAAUCUCUUUUCACAUAUGCUUUGUUUGAAAGCAAUAAAAUAGAGAAAGCUGUCACCAUCAUCCACCUGUUCCAAAAGUCUCAAAUUCAUGCUUUAGCAUGUUUUAUAGAGCUCUUACUGCUGCUGAGAUUUAUUGCAUCAGCUGGGAAAAAAAAUUGUCAUUAUUUUAUGUUUUCAGUUGUCUGACUGAAAAUGUCUGGUAAAAAAUCACUACCUUUUGGGCUGUUGAUGAGUACAGUGAUGCAUUUCAAAACUCUAUUAAUACCCUAUGCUCCCACCUGAGAGUCCAGACAGCAAUUUUUAAAAUUUCUUUUGCUUUUUGUACAUUCGUUAGUGUGUGACAGUGCUGCAAUAUGACCACAUGACCAACAAUUUUACAAUGUAGCGCUCAAAGAAUAUAAACCAACAUUGCUCCUUGGAAUAAAAUAUCCAGCAUUUAUCACAGACCAUACUGUACAGAACAGACAGGGGGAUGGAUUUGCAGGAGGGGCAGGGAAGAAGGGCUCUGCCACCAGCCCCAGCAUUCCAGCAGGCUGGAUGAUGUGGUGGGAGCCCCCUGCUCACUCCUGCUCUCCCUCUCCCCACAGCCACUUCCCCAUCCCGAGUGAUGCAGCCAGGGCUGUGUCCCUGCUCAGGCCCUGCUCCUCUUGCUCUGUUCCUCUCAGCUCACGGCCCUGGCAGUGAGCUCCCCUGGCUCUGCACAGCACUGGGACAUGUGUCCUCCCCAAAUCAAAGUCACACUUCUAGCACAGGCUGUGACUUGCACUGGGAACAGGGAUUUCCCCAGGUAAUGGCAAUCCUAAGUGACCUGGGUGUCCAGAAGUGUGGAUGGACUCAGUUGGAUCCUUUGUUUUUCUGUGAUGUCCUCAGAAAACUUAUUUGCAUUUCCAGCAUUGUGUUACUCUUGGGAGAGUCACUCACACUCAUAGGGAAAUUUGGACUGAAAGGAGCUCAGACCACCUGGCUGAUAAGCACAGAGAACAUGGUCCAGUCCUGUGGUCUCUGGCUUUUUCAAGAACAUGGUGCAGGCAGAGGCUGCUCAGAGGGCAGAGCAGAAGGAAGUGCAGGGAGUCAAAAAGGGCUCUCCCCUCCUCCUUCCAGCCCAGGAUUCCUUAGCCAAGGAAUGAUCAUCGCUGUACAACUUGUAAAAAUCUCUUGUGAUUAGGAGGGAGCAUGCAAGAGCUGGGACUAUUUUAUUUUCCUCUGAUUUACCUUUCUCAAGUGCUUAAGGUAUGUCCUUCCUCUUUUCUCUCCAGAAAGCCAUUUGAACUGUUUGUCAGUGGCUUCCUCACAGAGCUGAGGGUUUCAGCAAUAAAUACUUUGAGGCCAUUUUGAGGCUCUGAGAUCUGAAGCCUCACCCUCUGCAGCUGAGACUCCGCAUGCUCCUCUCUAACACUUUAUGGGAUGAAAUCAGAAAGCUAUUUUGAGAAAUAAGAUUUCUCAAAAAUAAGAAAAAAGAAACCCUCAAACUUCAAUGCUACUAAGUCCUCACUGCUGAACUUCAAUGCUACUAAGUGCUCACUGUCACACGCUUCUGUGUGUUUGGGAUAGAAAAACUGCAGAUAUCUGUACAAAAAUGAGGCAAUGGAGAGUUGGAUAAUUCUCUGUCAGCUCUAUUGCAAUAGUUUUACAAAGAGCUUUUUUACUGUGUAUCUGGAGUUCAAGAGCAGCUUUCCAUCUGCAUUACUGCAGAGUACAGUCUGUAAUAUUUUUUUCAGUCUCAUAUUAAAUAAAAAAUAGAAAAUUGGAAAACAAAAAGGAGGUGAGUGUGACUUCAGUGACCCAUUUACUUUUUAUUAAACUUAUUUUAUUAGAACGUAUGUGAUUCAUACUGUACAGUUUUGUUUGACUAUUGCUUAGGUUAAUUCACACUAGAAGGAUGCAAAACUGCUCUUAUGAAAGCAGUCAAGGAACUCAUUUUAAUUGCCAGUACCAAAGGGACACUUAAGUGUCUACUAAUGUGCAAUCUAUUGGAAAGACGUGUAUUCAAACUAAAUGAUGAAUUUAAACCAUACUAAAUUCAUCCCUCAAUAUAGACUGAUCUCUAAUUAUCUGAAUAUUGUUUUAGAUUUUAAAAGAAGUCUUGACAAAGGUUGAAGGAACAAAUCCUUAGAAACCUAAUCAAGGAAACACCUUAAAUAUUAAAACAGAUAUUUCCCAGUGUUUUUGUAAAAUAGGCUUCAUAGCAGUUUUAGUUCUAAUCCUAUUUAAAGACGUAUUGGAGUAAAGCAAUGAAUGAGUUGCCCCACCAGAUCCAGCAACUGUGUGGGCACUGAAAUGAAGUUUAGAAACCUUUUGCUUAGCCUUUGUUCAUUUGCUUGCACCCACUGAUGGACACUGGUGAAGAACAUCUCAGGCAAAGCAGAUGCAUGUGCUGCUGCAGGGGGAUGCUGCUCUGUGCAAGAUCAUGUUUCUGCACAUAAAAGGAGGUUAUUGAAGUCUUUGGAUUCACUCCAGCUCUUGUUGAAAUCGUGGUAGAAUCACUAUGGCUGGCACAGUGGAAAUUGUACAGGCUCCUUAUGCUCCAGUGCAGCCUGCAUCCAUGAGAGAGCAGUAAAUACCAUUCAUCAUCACUUGUUUCUCAUUAGACUUCCCUCCCACUUUUAGAGAAACAAAAAAAAAGGGGAGGUGGGGAAAGACUUGUGAGUCGGGGUUUCUACUGGAGGGAUGCAUUUCUACAAAGUGUUCUUUUUCAACAUCAUUGAAAAUCAAGAUUCUCCCUGUUGAAAACUACUGCAAUGAUGGAAAGCUUCCUUCUGAUUUGGUUGUGUGGUAUAUUUUUCACCCUAUACUCUCUUGACUUUUUAAAUAGUUUUAUUAGUAUAAUAUAACCUCUUUAUCUUGCUUCCCACACAGAGAAAAAAAAAAUAAAAAUCUCACAGACAACAGUUUUCAUAUGCAUUUAUUAGACACUGAGUUUUAUUACUGCAUUUCACUCUAAGCCUUAAUAUAAACAGGCAGUGCCAUCUUAGAAAAGCUGCUGCAAACUUCCUGAGUAGUGCUCUACCUCCAAAAAAGCUCACUGAGCAAAACCAUUGUAACUCAGCUGGCAGAUAAAGUAUUUGACUUGUAGUUAAUAUAUUAAGGCUUUUCACAGGCAUCUGGCCUAGGAAAUAAUAAGGCUUAAGAUUCAUGUAUGCUCACCAGCUUGAAGUUUAGCCCCACCAAGUCAGACAAUGUGUUGUGUUCUGAGCAGCAAUUACAUUUAAACCUUUCACUCAGCAGCAGAUAAGCACCUAACAUGAUUUGUCUGGAAGAGCACCAGUUUUGUCCAUAUUAAUCCUAAAUUGUGGUCAGCUGCCAGUACAAAGGGAACCUUCAUUAAAAGUGACUUCUUUUAUUCCUACAUAAUAGAUACAAUGCUCUACAUUUCAUAGAUUAGUCUUUAACUUGCCUGAGCUAUCUCUCUUCUAUGAAUAGUUCACGUACAAGCUAGGAACACUCAUUUCUCUGGCAUUUAUUUGGAAAUCACAGCUCCCAAUCACACCAGUGGCUAAUGCUUUUAUGCUUCUUGCUUUUUAAAUAUCACUGCUGUUCAUUAGGCUGUAUAUUCUAUAAUUAACACCCCUUCUCCUCAGCAAUUAAGUAAUUUAUCAGAUAACAGACAUUACUGUACAGGACCACCAGACACUGAAAAAUGAGGCUUACUUCAACAGAAGUAUGUACUUCUGUGCAAAUUAUUGUGAUAGUCUUUCUAACUAGAAAGAAAAUGAGGUAGAUUUUGCUUUCAAUAAUACUGUUGUAAAUGCUUAACAAUUCUGGCACAUCCACAGCAUGGUUCUUCCAGACUCACACAGUCAUAGCUGGAUUAUGUUUCUCUAUUAGAACAAAAUUCUCAUCCCUCUCUGGGUCAGAACAGCUGCCCUCAGCCAUACAGCUGAUUGCAAGCUUCAGGAUAAAAUCUCUCACCUCUGACUGGGGACAUAAGCUUAGCAAUUUUAUUUUUUUUUUAACAUGGCCCAUUGUUUCUAAAAAAUGCUUCUUUCUAAAUAAAAGUUCCAUGGUUUCUACCUCCUCAACUGAUGAGAAGUGACAGAGAAACAGGAAUGCUUUUGGUAAUCAGAAAUCUGACUCCAGGCAUACAGGCUGAACUCAUUGUCAGUUCACUACUAAAGUAUGGAAUUGUGAGAAAGCCAUUUAUUGGGACAAAUCACUGUUAAAAUUAUAUGUGCUUGUCAUCAUGUAGCUUAUCAAUAAAAAAUAUUCUGUGCUUCCACAUGGAUUUUUUUUCUUUUCUCUUUUUGACAUUUAAAGUUCCAUUGAAAUAUAAUCUCCUACUCUGGAAAUAAUUUACAAAGCAAAUCCUUGAGUACUGUCACAUGAUGAAGAAUCAGUGCAGAUUUUCAUUUUUGUAAUUUUUAUAAAGUUCUUUGCAAGAUAUCACUAAGAAAUUAUCUGGAGUUAUGGGUCACAAUGAAAGUUAAAGAGCAGAGAUGUUGCAAUGCAGUUUAUUAAAAUCUGCUUAUUCCAGCAACUACUUUUCAGUGGCAGGUAUGACUGUCCUGUGUAAAUCACUAGUCAGGAGUUUCAGUGGCAGCUUGCCUAUGCAAACCCAACUGAUUAUAAUCACUGCUUCCCUCCUCUGCUGUAGAAAUUUGCACUGUGACACACAACACCAGAUGCUGGACACUGGCUACUAUAAUAAAAGUUAAUUUGCAGGAUGGUAUGGGCUGCAUUAAUUUUCAACGUGGCAAAACACUAACAGCUGGCCCAACCUUGGGCCAGUGUUGUUUCAUCAGCAAACUGGAAAAGGAAGUAAGUAAUGAAUCAUAUAAAGGGCUUUAGAUGACAAGUGUUUAGAUUAGUCAAAGUCACAGUAGGCUGAAGGGAUAUAAGAGUAACCUAAGAGCACAAAGCAGAGCAGCACAGUGACAACUGAAAUAUUUCGCAGCUAAAAAAAAAAUCAAUAUGAAGGCAUUUACCUGGAAAUAUGGUACAAUUUAUGCAAUAACUUCUAUAAGGAACUGAAAAAAUCUUCCAUGAGCACUUCCUUUCCCUGCCCCACCUCCUCCAGAAUACUCUAGAGCCUGCUCACUAUGAAACCCUGUGAAAAACAUGGUUUAUGUUAAAUUUCUAGUGAUACCAGGUAGGUAAGGGAUUAAAACCCAAGCCUGUGAUAUUUCACUAUGUACUUUAGCAGCAAGCCCUUAGGCUUUAAAUUAUAUUUUUAUUAUAUAGUAAAGAAAGUGCCCAUGGAGCAGCUGCAUUGCACAGGGUGCUGCAGUGGUCACUGCAGCAUCCUGGUCCCUCAAGACAGCUCGUGCUGAGCCGCUGAGUUGGCAUGAACAGAUGAGUGCCAAACUCCUGGGUCCUUUCCAGGACAUGAGCAGGGUAUUGCAUUACUCAAGGCACCCAAUUCUGGAUCAAAAACAAGAGUGGAGCUACUCUCAGAUUUGGGGCUCCCUUUAAAUUCUAGGUCUACUUUCGUAUCCCAUCCAAAGAUACUCCUGUGAAAUUCAAAGACACAGAGAGAUAAGGAGUAAUAGUAAUUUCUCAAACAUGAUUCCAAAGAUUAUAGAUAUUAUAUACCCCAUGGUGUUGCUGUUAAAAGACAGCCAUCCUUUACAGCUAUAAACUGUGUUUAAAUUGAACUUCAACUUCCUACACAGGCUGAUGUUUUUACAAGCCAUGGUCUGAACAUGAAACAAACACAGCCCUAAAUGUUUGUGUUUGGUACAAAAAGAUAUUCAGAGGACACUCUGGGCUGCUGCUCUAAAGAGCACAGCCAAAGUUCACAGCCAGUAGGAAGGGAUAUGGGCAAUGCCCACAGAUACUGUGCCCUGGCUCCCCCAGCGAGUUUAUACUGGCCCCUUUCUGUUUGAAAGCUGGCUACCGAGAGGUUUGGCAUGGGACUCAAAACUGUGUCACAAGUUACUUGCCAUUGUCUGCCACAGUGUCCUCAUUCAUCUGCACUAAGCAAGGGAUGAUUAAAAUAAAAAGGGGUUUUGAGACUGAAAACCAGAAAUGGAGUGAUAGAAAGACAAUGGCAAGCACAGACAAGAGUUUUAAUUGAAAAUCUGGCAGUGAGAGAAACAUCAGUAAGAAAAUCAGAUCUUGACUAGUUCGCCCAUCAUGUUCCCUCUCUGAAAUAGGUUUAAAGCACACACCUGAAUUAUUCUGACUGAAAGCCAGUGUAAUUUCAAACAAAUAGCUUGUUACCCACACAAAAGCUAUUCAGAUAGUGCAACAUCAAACAAGAGAGCAGCAGCAGACAAUAAGCUAAACUAAGCAGCCCUUUGAGAGCACCUCAUUGAGAAAGCCAGCUGAGCUACAAAACUGCUGGGGAUGAUUAACAUCAAUGCAAUGUAUUGGCUUUCUUCAAAUAAAGACCUCAGUGUAAGGAAAUGAUUGAAGAGACAACUAAACUCUGUUAGAGUCAUAAUUAACAAAUUAUAGGUUCCAUUUCACAUAUUGGUCUAUACAACUCAUUCAGGAUAAUGACAGAACAAGCUUUUUUUUUUUCCACAAAAAACAUUUUAUUCACAUUAUUUAUUAAAUUUUAUUUAGAAAAUAUUGACGGUGAAAUUAACUGAAAUUCAGAUAUUAUUAAAAUACAAAAUAUAAAAGAAUGUGCAAAAGUAUCACCAUAGGCAUAACCUACCAUAAGAAAUAUAAAAGUGCCUCAAAAGAGGGAUUACUCUCUGUAGAUGAAAUUUGCAGAAACUUCUGCUGCUCUGCUUCAACAGCUACUGCAUUAUCACAAAUAUCAAAAUCCUCUGCAGAUGUAAUCAGCAUAGCUCCAUUAAAAUCAGUAAAACUAUGCUGAUUAAUGCCAUAUGAGAAUCUGGAGUAACUUAGCCAAAAUUUCAAAUGUCAUGAAAAAGUAAUGGCUACACUUUAAUUUUAAUGCUCAACUAGCUUAUUCAUUGCCUUUGUCAGAGUGUUUAUCAGGGCAUCUCUAUUCCAAAUUCUCUCCUGUGGGAUAAGCUGCAUUUGAAUUUAUACUUCUUGUACUGUUAUGAAGACUUCUGAAAGCCUUUACUAUGAACAUUGACUGUAAACGACCAUCUCUUUAAAUGA